rnacentral:rRNA from 1 species
UCGAGAAUCUUCCGCAAUGCGCGCAAGCGUGACGGAGCGACGCCGCGUGGGUGAUGAAGGCCUUCGGGUUGUAAAGCCCUGUUGCCUGCUAAGAAUGUCGGGUGGUGAAUAGCUGUCCCGGUUGACGUCAGCAGGUGAGGAAGCACCGGCUAAAUACGUGCCAGCAGCCGCGGUAACACGUAUGGUGCGAACGUUGUUCGGAAUCACUGGGCAUAAAGAGCACGUAGGCGGUCUGGUAAGUCUGACUGUGAAAUCCCUCGGCUCAACCGAGGAACUGCAUCGGAUACUGCCGGACUCGAGUACGGUAGGGGAGAGUGGAAUUCCUGGUGGAGCGGUGAAAUGCGUAGAUAUCAGGAGGAACACCGGCGGCGAAAGCGACUCUCUGGGCCGUAACUGACGCUGAGGUGCGAAAGCCAGGGGAGCAAACGGGAUUAGAUACCCCCGUAGUCC